rnacentral:tRNA from 1 species
GGCUUUGUAGUGAAGUUCAUAGUGAGUUGCAAACUCAUUGAUGUGCACUGGCCGUGCGCCGAAGCCU